GCUGGAUUCGCUAGUAAUCGCGCAUCAGCCAUGGCGCGGUGAAUACGUUCCCGGGCCUUGUACACACCGCCCGUCAAGCCAUGGGAGCCGGGAGCGCUUGAAGUGCGUCGCCGCGAGGCGCGCCCUAGAGCGAGACCGGUGACUGGGGCUAAGUCGUAACAAGGUAAC
rnacentral:rRNA from 1 species